UUCUGGCUCAGAUUGAACGCUGGCGGCGUGCUUAACACAUGCAAGUCGCGCGUGAAAGGACUUCGGUCCGAGUAAAGCGGCGCACGGGUGAGUAACGCGUGGAUGAUCUACCCAUGAGUUAGGAAUAACGGCUGGAAACGGUCGCUAAUACCAAAUACGCUCCGAUUUCAACUUCGGGGGAAAGGUGGCCUCUGCUUGCAAGCUACUGCUCAUGGAUGAGUCCGCGUCCCAUUAGCUAGUUGGUGGGGUAACGGCCCACCAAGGCGACGAUGGGUAGCCGGUCUGAGAGGAUGACCGGCCACACUGGGACUGGAACACGGCCCAGACUCCUACGGGAGGCAGCAGUGGGGAAUAUUGCGCAAUGGGCGAAAGCCUGACGCAGCGACGCCGCGUGAGGGAAUGAAGGUCCUCGGAUCGUAAACCUCUGUCAGGAGGGAAGAACCGCCACGGUGCUAAUCAGCCGUGGUCUGACGGUACCUCCAAAGGAAGCACCGGCUAACUCCGUGCCAGCCGCGGC
rnacentral:rRNA from 1 species